GGGCUUUUUGCAGAUCCAGAAGCAGGUGACACUCCCAAGAGUGACAUCAACCCUGGCUCUGCCAAAACUGCCAAGAAGCACAAGGACAACUAUUUUGAAAUUUCAAGAGGACUGUGCGCGGUGACAGACGACAGUGAUUAUGUAUCUAUUUUAAGAAGGUGUCAGAUCUGCCUGAAUGCUUUCCCUGCCCAUCCUGUCCCCUCCACUUUGUCCUUCCUACUGUCCCCUAAUACACCUUUCACCAUUC